CAGCCUGAUUCCAAACUCAUCAGGGCUAAUGAUGUCUAUUGCCCUCAUUGUCUCUGUCAAGAACUAUAUAAAGCAACACCUGGAAAAGUGCUGAGUCCACAAUAUCCACAGGCCUGUUUUACAGGAUGAUCUCCACUGUUAUGCCAGAAAUCCCUGGGCAAAACAGAAUCCAGGUUAGUGAUAGUGAGAACAUUUCCAGAAGCACUGAGCCCUGUCUUGCAGCUCCCAUCUGAAAGACGUGCUUGUAUCCAGCUCCUGAGAAAAGUGGAAAGAAAAGGGCCAAGCAUUCCCGGUGGGGACACUGGGAAGGACAGCAGCUGAACAUGGGUGAGUCCUGCGUGAGAGUGUGUGGAAAACAAGGAUAGGCUCAUCCCCUCAUCCCAGCCCUUGCAUUCACAGAAGGGGUGACUAAGCCAGGACUUUGCCCUUUUUCAGAAGUCUAUGAUUUUCAAUUUCUUUUAAGAGUACCGCCUCUGUGGUUCAGACAUUCUUCUGCUUAAA